rnacentral:rRNA from 1 species
GAUGAACGCUGGCGGCGUGCCUAAUACAUGCAAGUCGAGCGAACAGACGAGGAGCUUGCUCCUCUGACGUUAGCGGCGGACGGGUGAGUAACACGUGGAUAACCUACCUAUAAGACUGGGAUAACUUCGGGAAACCGGAGCUAAUACCGGAUAAUAUAUUGAACCGCAUGGUUCAAUAGUGAAAGACGGUUUUGCUGUCACUUAUAGAUGGAUCCGCGCCGCAUUAGCUAGUUGGUAAGGUAACGGCUUACCAAGGCAACGAUGCGUAGCCGACCUGAGAGGGUGAUCGGCCACACUGGAACUGAGACACGGUCCAGACUCCUACGGGAGGCAGCAGUAGGGAAUCGUCCGCAAUGGGCGAAAGCCUGACGGAGCAACGCCGCGUGAAUGAUGAAGGUCUUCGGAUCGUAAAACUCUGUUAUUAGGGAAGAACAAAUGUGUAAGUAACUAUGCACGUCUUGACGGUACCUAAUCAGAAAGCCACGGCUAACUACGUG